rnacentral:lncRNA from 1 species
GUAAUUAUUUGUUGGGUUCUUGUUUGCUAUCUUUUUUAUAUGUAUUCAUUGCUUUGUUGUCGAUUCUACUUUAAUUUCUUUUUUCCUAUACCCUAUGUGCCUUGGUUGGUUGGACCUAUAAAUUGGAAAUUAAUAAGGCAAUUGCUUUUCCAAUUUUUUAUAUUGAUCGUUCAUUUAUGAUUUAUGUCAUGCACACGUGACAUGAAUUCAAGUGGACUUAGAGGAAGUAUAUAAUGCACUUGAGAAGGAGGGCCGGAAA